rnacentral:rRNA from 1 species
GACGAACGCUGGCGGCGUGCUUAACACAUGCAAGUCGAACGGAAAGGCCCUGCUUUUGUGGGGUGCUCGAGUGGCGAACGGGUGAGUAACACGUGAGUAACCUGCCCUUGACUUUGGGAUAACUUCAGGAAACUGGGACUAAUACCGGAUAGGAGCUCCUGCUGCAUGGUGGGGGUUGGAAAGUUUCGGCGGUUGGGGAUGGACUCGCGGCUUAUCAGCUUGUUGGUGGGGUAGUGGCUUACCAAGGCUUUGACGGGUAGCCGGCCUGAGAGGGUGACCGGCCACAUUGGGACUGAGAUACGGCCCAGACUCCUACGGGAGGCAGCAGUGGGGAAUAUUGCACAAUGGGCGGAAGCCUGAUGCAGCAACGCCGCGUGCGGGAUGACGGCCUUCGGGUUGUAAACCGCUUUCGCCUGUGACGAAGCGUGAGUGACGGUAAAGGGUAAAGAAGCACCGGCUAACUACGUG